rnacentral:rRNA from 1 species
GACGAACGCUGGCGGCGUGCCUAAUACAUGCAAGUCGAACGCUUCUUUCCUCCCGAGUGCUUGCACUCAAUUGGAAAGAGGAGUGGCGGACGGGUGAGUAACACGUGGGUAACCUACCCAUCAGAGGGGGAUAACACUUGGAAACAGGUGCUAAUACCGCAUAACAGUUUAUGCCGCAUGGCAUAAGAGUGAAGGGCGCUUUCGGGUGUCGCUGAGGGAUGGACCCGCGGUGCAUUAGCUAGUUGGUGAGGUAACGGCUCACCAAGGCCACGAUGCAUAGCCGACCUGAGAGGGUGAUCGGCCACACUGGGACUGAGACACGGCCCAGACUCCUACGGGAGGCAGCAGUAGGGAAUCUUCGGCAAUGGACGAAAGUCUGACCGAGCAACGCCGCGUGAGUGAAGAAGGUUUUCGGAUCGUAAAACUCUGUUGUUAGAGAAGAACAAGGACGUUAGUAACUGAACGUCCCCUGACGGUAUCUAACCAGAAAGACACGGCUAACUACGUG